ensembl:ncRNA lncRNA:CR44797 long non-coding RNA:CR44797
AUUAGAACGGGAUUUGAACUUCGCUUGGGCCAAAACGCGCAACGAAAGGAAACGGAACACAAAUGUUAACUCCGCGUGUUGAUAAAAAUAUGACAAGUUGGCUGUCAUUAGUCACACAAUUAACAUAUACAAAUACCGUCGAAGGGAAGGGAAUGAGUGGGGCAUCCUCCGACCCGAUCUUCCAGCGGUGGUCACGUAGAGGAGAGGAGACACGCUGACUUCAGCAAAUUGUCAAUUACUCAUGCGAUGAGCGAAAGGAGCAUCGUCAUGGGCAGGGGUGUUCGGGGUAUUCUCGGGGUAUUCAGAGGAUCCAGGUGGGGAAUCGCAGAGGAGAAGGACCAGACUGUCCAGUUGCCGAACCUGAAUCCCAGGCAACAUCUACCGCUGCCGCUGGACCGCCUGUCGUCGCCGACUGCCUUUUAAAGCAUCAUUAGCAGAGAUAAUUAGCGCCGUGCAAACGACAGCCAAGAGAUUACCUCGAAAAAGCGACUCACAGGCAGAAAAAAGUAUUUCUGCAUUGUUAUUACUAUUCAAGAUCGUCGUUUCUUGGUAGUGAUGU